rnacentral:tRNA from 1 species
GAGGUGCUAGUAAAGCAAUUACAUGGCCUUGUCAAGGCCAAAUCACAAGUGAAACCCCUGUGCACCUCA